rnacentral:rRNA from 1 species
CACCCAACAGCUAGCCCACCAGCACAACAACAACCAACCCUUAUCAAUACCCCUACAUACACGACCGACCACAACUGCUAAACCAUUUUUCCCCUUCAGUAUAGGAG